CGGACGGGUGAGUAACGCGUGAGGAACCUGCCUUUCAGAGGGGGACAACAGUUGGAAACGACUGCUAAUACCGCAUGACACAUAGAUGUCGCAUGGCAUUUAUGUCAAAGAUUUAUCGCUGAAAGAUGGCCUCGCGUCUGAUUAGCUAGUUGGUGAGGUAACGGCCCACCAAGGCGACGAUCAGUAGCCGGACUGAGAGGUUGAACGGCCACAUUGGGACUGAGAUACGGCCCAGACUCCUACGGGAGGCAGCAGUGGGGAAUAUUGGGCAAUGGGCGCAAGCCUGACCCAGCAACGCCGCGUGAAGGAAGAAGGCUUUCGGGUUGUAAACUUCUUUUGUCAGGGACGAGUAGAAGACGGUACCUGACGAAUAAGCCACGGCUAACUACGUGCCAGCAGCCGCGGUAAUACGUGGGUGGCAAGCGUUGUCCGGAUUUACUGGGUGUAAAGGGCGUGUAG
rnacentral:rRNA from 1 species